GAGAAUGUUGGCAUGAGUAGCGAGAUGUGGGUGAGAAUCCCACAGGCCGUAAACCCAAGGUUUCCAGGGGAAGGUUCGUCCGCCCUGGGUUAGUCGGGACCUAAGCUGAGGCCGAAAGGCGUAGGGGAUGGACAACAGGUUGAUAUUCCUGUACUACCGAUAACCGUUUGAGAGAAGGGAUGACACAGUAGGAUAAGCUAAGCACACUGUUGGUUAUGUGUGCCCAAGCAUUGAGGCAGUCAAAGUAGGUAAAUCCGCUUUGAUAAUGCUGGGAUGUGAUGGGGAGCGAAAUUUAGUAGCGAAGUAGCUGAUUUCACACUGUCAAGAAAAGUCUCUAUCGAGGUUAAAGGUACCCGUACCGCAAACCGACACAGGUGGGUGAGGAGAGUAUCCUAAGGCCAGCGAGAGAACUGUUGUUAAGGAACUCGGCAAAAUGACCCCGUAACUUAGGGAUAAGGGGUGCCA
rnacentral:rRNA from 1 species